rnacentral:rRNA from 1 species
GAUGAACGCUGGCGGCGUGCCUAAUACAUGCAAGUCGAGCGAACAGACGAGGAGCUUGCUCCUCUUACGUUAGCGGCGGACGGGUGAGUAACACGUGGGUAACCUACCUAUAAGACUGGGGUAACUUCGGGAAACCGGAACUAAUACCGGAUAAUAUAUUGAACCGCAUGGUGCAGUAGUUAAGGGCGGUUUUGCUGUCACUUAUAGAUGGAUCCGCGCCGCAUUAGCUAGUUGGUAAGGUAACGGCUUACCAAGGCAACGAUCCGUAGCCGACCCGAGAGGGUGAUCAGCCACACUGGAACUGAGACACGGUCCAGACUCCUACGGGAGGCAGCAGUAGGGAAUAUUGCGCAAUGGGCGAAAGCCUGACGGAGCAACGCCGCGUGAGUGAUGAAGGUCUUCGGAUCGUAAAACUCUGUUAGUAGGGAAGAACAAAUGUGUAAGUAACUAUGCACGUAUUGACGGUACCUAAUCAGAAAGCCACGGCUAACUCCGUG